rnacentral:rRNA from 1 species
UCCGUAGGUGAACCUGCGGAAGGAUCAUUACCGAGUGUAGGGUUCCUAGCGAGCCCAACCUCCCACCCGUGUUUACUGUACCUUAGUUGCUUCGGCGGGCCCGCCAUUCAUGGCCGCCGGGGGCUCUCAGCCCCGGGCCCGCGCCCGCCGGAGACACCACGAACUCUGUCUGAUCUAGUGAAGUCUGAGUUGAUUGUAUCGCAAUCAGUUAAAACUUUCAACAAUGGAUCUCUUGGUUCCGGCAUCGAUGAAGAACGCAGCGAAAUGCGAUAACUAGUGUGAAUUGCAGAAUUCCGUGAAUCAUCGAGUCUUUGGACGCACAUUGCGCCCCCUGGUAUUCCGGGGGGCAUGCCUGUCCGAGCGUCAUUGCUGCCCAUCAAGCACGGCUUGUGUGUUGGGUCGUCGUCCCCUCUCCGGGGGGGACGGGCCCCAAAGGCAGCGGCGGCACCGCGUCCGAUCCUCGAGCGUAUGGGGCUUUGUCACCCGCUCUGUAGGCCCGGCCGGCGCUUGCCGAACGCAAAUCAAUCUUUUCCAGGUUGACCUCGGAUCAGGUAGGGAUACCCGCUGAACUUAAGCAUAUCAAUAAGCGGAGGA